rnacentral:rRNA from 1 species
CCUACGGGUGGCAGCAGUGGGGAAUAUUGGGCAAUGGGCGCAAGCCUGAACCAGCACCGCCGCGUGAAGGAAGAAGGCUCUCGGGUUGUAAACUUCUUUUCUCCGGGACGAAGACAGUGACGGUACCUGAGGAAUAAGCCACGUCUAACUAGGUGCCAGCAGCCGCGUUAAUACGUAGGUGGCAGGCGUUAUCCGGAUUUAUUGGGUGUAAAGGGCGUGUAGGCUGCAGCGCAAGUCAGAUGUGAAAUGUCAGGGCUCAACCCUGAGCCUGCAGUUGAAACUGGGGUUCUUGAGUGCUGGAGAGGCAAUCGGAAUUCCGGGUGUAGCGGUGAAAUGCGUAGAUAUACGGAGGAACACCAGGUGCGAAGGCGGAUUGCUGGACAGUAACUGACGCUGAGGCGCGAAAGCGUGGGGAGCAAACAGGAUUAGAUACCCUAGUAGUC